rnacentral:rRNA from 1 species
AGAGUUUGAUCCUGGCUCAGAACGAACGCUGGCGGCGCGUCUAAGGCAUGCAAGUCGAACGGAAAGGUCCCUUCGGGGAUACUCGAGUGGCAAAUGGGUGAGUAACACGUGGAUAACCUACCCUAAAGUGGGGAAUAACUCUAAGAAAUUAGAGCUAAUACCGCAUAUUAUUAUCAUUACAUAAGUAGAGAUAAUGAAAGACUUCGGUCGCUAUAGGAUGGGUCCGCGGUCCAUUAGCUUGUUGGUAAGGUAACGGCUUACCAAGGCUACGAUGGAUAGCCGGCUUGAGAGAGUGAUCGGCCACAUUGGAACUGCGACACGGUCCAGACUCCUACGGGAGGCAGCAGCUAAGAAUCUUAGGCAAUGGGCGAAAGCCUGACCUAGCGACGCCGCGUGGAUGAUGAAGGCCUUCAAGGUUGUAAAAUCCUUUUCUAUGGGAAGAAGUCCUGACGGUACCAUAGGAAUAAGCCCCGGCUAAUUACGUGCCAGCAGCCGCGGCAAUACGUGAGGGGCAAGCGUUGUUCGGAAUUAUUGGGCGUAAAGGGUGCGUAGGCGGAUUGGUAAGUUGGAUGUGCAAUCUCUGGGCUCAACUCGGAAACUGCGUCCAAAACUACCAGUCUAGAGUUUGGAAGAGGAAAGCGGAAUUACUGGUGUAGGAGUGAAAUCUUUAGAUAUCAGUAAGAACACCUGCAGCGAAGGCGGCUUUCUGGUCUAAAACUGACGCUGAAGCACGAAAGCCAGGGGAGCAAACGGGAUUAGAUACCCCGGUAGUCCUGGCCGUAAACGUUGUAUACUAGGUGUAUGAGGCAUCGAUCCCUCAUGUGCCAAAGCUAACGCAUUAAGUAUACCGCCUGGAGAGUAUGCCCGCAAGGGUGAAAUUCAAAGGAAUUGACGGGGGCCCGCACAAGCGGUGGAGCAUGUGGUUCAAUUCGAUGAUACGCGAGUAACCUUACCAGGGUUCGACUACCACUAGACACCCUCGAGAAAUCAGGGUUCCCUUCGGGGCUGGUGGUCAGGUGCUGCAUGGUUGUCGUCAGCUCGUGUCGUGAGAUGUUGGGUUAAGUCCCGCAACGAGCGCAACCCCUAUCUUCUGUUGCCACCAGGUUAAGCUGAGCACUCAGAAGAAACAGCCGUCGAAAGACGGAGGAAGGUGGGGAUGACGUCAAAUCAUCAUGGCCCUUAUGUCCUGGGCUACACACGUGCUACAAUGGACGGUACAAAGGGUCGCGAGAUCGCAAGAUGAAGCUAAUCCCAAAAAACCGUUCUCAGUUCGGAUUGAAGUCUGAAACCCGACUUCAUGAAGCCGGAAUCGCUAGUAAUCGCGCAUCAGCACGGCGCGGUGAAUACGUUCCCGGGCCUUGUACACACCGCCCGUCACAUCAUCCGAGUUGGAUCAACCCGAAGUCACUGAGCUAACCCGCAAGGGAGGCAGGUGCCGAAGGUAAAUCUAAUGAGGAGGAUGAAGU